rnacentral:lncRNA from 1 species
CAGAAUCAAGGAAAGGGGUGUUUGAAAAGAAUGCAGAGAAGAAAUGGAGUGUAUCAAAUGACAUCAGGAAGGCUGGCUGGUGGACUAUAGGCUCCAAAGGUUAGCCAAGCAGUGUGUCAGGCAGUAAACCAGAGGGUCCGCUUUGACCUCCUACCACCAUUUGACGAGAAAACAAGAGAAAAUGUGGCUGGUGUGGGUCCACUGCAGAGGUGGGGAGUUCUUUCGUGCAGUAGUGACAAUGCCCUGCUUCCCCAGAUCUGGCACAUUUCAGAAGUUGCUGACGUGUUGAUGCCUGCUAAAACACAACGUGGGAAGAAGAAUGAAUGUGGGCAAGCUCGGCUAGCCACUCAGAGGGAAAUGAUCUCAUUUCUCCUGCUGGGCAACCCCCAGUUGCUGCUACUCAGUCCUUCUUGAAGUCCAUUUUCGUAAACACUUUGCUGAUCAAGAAGUGUCUGAAGAUGGGAAGACGGAGAAAGCUUGUAUUGUUUACUGAGUAUCAGAGGACACUUCCUUCAAGUGACCUAAGGCAUGUGUGAGUGCUAUCCUACGAGCCACAUUCUAAAGGAGUGAAGUCAUCACGAACACUGCCUUAGAAGAGUGAGUUAGUGCCAAAGACUAUCCUCAACAGCAUUUACAGACUCACUUUUCUAAAAAUCCAGAGAUUUUUUUUAACAUAUAAAUCAAGAAUGAACAAGGCAAAUGUUCAGCAAUUCACUUCCAUGCAUUACUCCCCUUCUCCUUGGAACUCAAUUUCUUAGCCAGGUUGCUUUUUGGGGCUAAAAGAAAGGAAAACAGAGAUGGAGACAGACAGGGCCAAGAAGCCAAUAAAGAGAUGAGCUGCACAAAGCUAUAAUAAUCAGUAAACCUAAGCAGGAAAAAGCUGAGAGGAAGGAAAGUUACUUAAAAUCAGAGAAUGCGGGGAGGGAGAAAAAUUGCUUAAAAUUAGUUUACAGAAAAAGAAAAUUAAUCUCCAUUUUACUGUUGAAUGACCUUUAGUCUGGAAUUAGAAUUCUAUAAAGUCUAAACAAAGAGCCACAUUUAAUUCCCUGGGAAACUCCAAUUUUAACUUGGCUUUAAUAAUAAAAAUUUUUGUGUGCAAAUUCCGAAAGCAGCACACACAAAGAAAUUAAAGAAUACAAAAACCUGUCCUAGGUAAUCAUGGAAAUCUUACGUAAAGAGAAAAUGAAAAUCUUUUCAUGCAAUUGCACUUUACUCGAAAAUUCUACUAAUCCUGACCUUUCAGGUUUUGUGAAGUGCCAAAUGCAAAUUAAAUGAAAAUGAAAUCACAAUACAUUGGAUUUUAGAGAAAGGAAAUGGCUAAUCAUGAAUGCUUUUUUUUUUGGCAAGAACUGUUCAGGUGAAUAUUAUGCUUAGUAAUUGUUCAGGCAAGAAAGUGGGUAGAAAUAAGCUUUCUCUCCUACCAUGAGGCUGGAUGCAUGCUUUGUUCUCUGAGGGAAAGAUCUCUACACAUUGAAUAAAGGCGAAGUACUUACACUGGACUUUAGCGAGAGUCUGACCCACAGAAUUCCUUUCCUUUGUGGGAAAUAGGGGCAAUUCUCAGCAUGGGAAGUACACACACACACACACACACACACACACACACAUACACACACACACACACACACACACACACACAGACACAUCGCGCCCACUCUUUCCUUGCCUGCGCCUUUUGUCUCCAAACCUAAGGGACCACACACCAUCUCCAUUUUAUAGGCCCCUGUUUGACACUCUUAGGCAUUUCAAAUUUAUCCUGCCCAAGCCUAUAUUUAACAUUCUAGAUUAAAAUCAGAGAAUGUUAAAGCUGAAAGUUACCUUAUAUACACAUAGGUCGGCCAGUCAGUCAGCUCUUGCAAUAUUAAGGCCAUUUAAAUAAUUUAAUUGGCAAAUUAAAUUUCCUUGCUUUUUUCGGAAAAAAAAUAUAUUAUGUAAAGUUAGGUUAGCCUCUACAAAAGUAUUUGUGCUUUAGCUGUAAUCUGGCCAAUGAUUUUAGUGAUCAUUUAUGAAAAUAUAUCAUUCAUUCUAAGUCCUGUUAGGCAUUUAGAGGUGAAUUGAAAAUACUUAUUUCUGAAUUUGUUCCUCCUCUAUUUCUUAGGAUCACCUCUACCUCCCAUGCACAUUAACCUGGGAAAGAGACAGAAAAAAUCAGAAAAAAAAGAUGUUAGGAGAAGCUGAACAGACUGAAAUUCUCCAGAAUGAGAGUGAAAGGAGCUGAAAUGCCUUUGAAAUAUUAUUUCUCAGCAAACAAAAAUCACAGAAUAGAUGCUGCAGACUUGAAAAUGGAUAAACACUGUUUGUGCCUACAUCUUUAUCUCUUUGCAAUCACCUCAAGAUUGAAUUGUACUGUACACUAUGGAUGUCUAGUUGUGCUUCAGUUAUAGUACAUUUCCUUUGAUGCCAACUUCCCUAAUGUCAGGAUUUUUCCCAGAUUAAGAGUGAGAACUGGGAUUGAGCCAAACAACAACACAGAAUCCAUAAUCUUCAAUACAGUUCAAGGUUGUUUCUAGGGAUUAAAGAGUAGAAAAACACACCAAUGCAAUAUAGGGCAAAACAAAAUAUAGUGAUAUCUCACCCUAUCACCUAGCACACAGUCAUAUACAGAAAGGCUUAUAAUUUAUCUUGGUAGUAAAAAAUGUGUUACCUUAAGCCCUCUAUAGUUAGAUGAUUGCGUGAAAGGUAAAAAAGCAGAUUAGAAGGGAUGCAUCCAGGCAUAAAAAAGGAAUGCUGAUAGUAGAAGAGGAAAAUGUGAAAUACCCAGGGUCCAAGCUUAGUACACUAUGGUUAAUUAGUGGUGAGGAGCAAGAGCUAGUUAGUCCACAGGAGUCUCAGGGAUAGUGAGACCCCCAUCUCUAUAACAAAAAAAAAUGCCUGGUGUGGUAUCAUGUGCGCCUGUAGUCCCAGCUACUCAAGAGGCUGAGGUGGGAGGAUGGCUUGAGCCCAGGAGGUUGAGGCUGCAGUGAGCCAUGAUGAGCACACUACUUCACUC